UGGUAGAGGUCGCGAUAUUCAUCAGUACUCUUUGGGAUGACUUAGAGCAGAUGAACAUAGAUGAAAGGGGAUAUCGCCGAAGAGAGGCAACGGCUAAGCGUUGUUUCGUCUGGUUGUACAGCGAAUAACUGUAUGACUGUCAUCGCAAGAUGGAGCGCUACUGU
rnacentral:ncRNA from 1 species